rnacentral:lncRNA from 1 species
GACCAAAUCAGGGCCGAAGGCAACAAAAAAUACAAAAAACACAAUAGAAACAAAAAAAAGGAAAAAAAGCGGAGAAAGGGAAACCCGAGAAAAAAAACAGGGGAAAUAGACAGAAAAAAGAAAAAAGAUAACAUUUAGCGGAGUUGAACGCAGCUUAACCAGCUCAUUAUUUUGAAAAUAUACAACACAAUCAAAUGCAUAAGGAUUUAGUAUAUCUAUUUGAAUUCUAUUCCUUAAUUUCUUAUAUGUGGAUGGUUAAUUCCUUAUCCUUA